rnacentral:rRNA from 1 species
GGGUCAGUAGGUUGGUCGUGCCACCGGUACGUACUGGUCUCACUGAUUCCUCCUUCCUGAAGAACCGUAAUGCCAUUAAUUUGGUGUUGCGGGGAAACAGGACUGUUACUUUGAAAAAAUUAGAGUGUUUAAAGCAAGCUAAAGCUUGAAUACAUUAGCAUGGAAUAAUGAAAUAGGACGAUCGAUCCUAUUUUGUUGGUUUCUAGGAUUGACGUA